GGUGAUAAUUCGGCAUCUACCGUUAUUAAGAGACCAUCAACCCCAAAACCCAUAGACUAUUAAUUGCUGUGGAUAUUCACUCAAGAAAGAUUGAGUAGGCCAAACACAAUGCCUCAGUUUAUGGCGUGUAUCACAAGAUUGGAUUCAAAGUUGUUGAUUUUUUCAAACUGGUGAAUAUGAUAAAAGUUUAUGUCAUUGUCAUGUCACCUUCAUGGUGUAGGUCGAGCUACAAAAAGAUAUCCACCAUUGGUGAUUUUUUUAGAUAAAAUUUUGUAGGUGGGAAGUAAAAUUGCACCAAAAAUAAAGUUACAUUUACCCAAGAA